AGAGUUUGAUCCUGGCUCAGAACGAACGCUUUCGGCGUGGAUAAGACAUGCAAGUCGAACGAGAGAAUUGCUAGCUUGCUAAUAAUUCUCUAGUGGCGCACGGGUGAGUAACACGUGAGUAACCUGCCCCCGAGAGCGGGAUAGCCCUGGGAAACUGGGAUUAAUACCGCAUAGUAUCGAAAGAUUAAAGCAGCAAUGCGCUUGGGGAUGGGCUCGCGGCCUAUUAGUUAGUUGGUGAGGUAACGGCUCACCAAGGCGAUGACGGGUAGCCGGUCUGAGAGGAUGUCCGGCCACACUGGAACUGAGACACGGUCCAGACACCUACGGGUGGCAGCAGUCGAGAAUCAUUCACAAUGGGGGAAACCCUGAUGGUGUGACGCCGCGUGGGGGAAUGAAGGUCUUCGGAUUGUAAACCCCUGUCAUGUGGGAGCAAAUUAAAAAGAUAGUACCACAAGAGGAAGAGACGGCUAACUCUGUGCCAGCAGCCGCGGUAAUACAGAGGUCUCAAGCGUUGUUCGGAAUCACUGGGCGUAAAGCGUGCGUAGGCUGUUUCGUAAGUCGUGUGUGAAAGGCGCGGGCUCAACCCGCGGACGGCACAUGAUACUGCGAGACUAGAGUAAUGGAGGGGGAACCGGAAUUCUCGGUGUAGCAGUGAAAUGCGUAGAUAUCGAGAGGAACACUCGUGGCGAAGGCGGGUUCCUGGACAUUAACUGACGCUGAGGCACGAAGGCCAGGGGAGCGAAAGGGAUUAGAUACCCCUGUAGUCCUGGCAGUAAACGGUGCACGCUUGGUGUGCGGGGAAUCGACCCCCUGCGUGCCGGAGCUAACGCGUUAAGCGUGCCGCCUGGGGAGUACGGUCGCAAGAUUAAAACUCAAAGAAAUUGACGGGGACCCGCACAAGCGGUGGAGUAUGUGGCUUAAUUCGAUGCAACGCGAAGAACCUUACCUGGGCUUGACAUGUAAUGAACAACAUGUGAAAGCAUGCGACUCUUCGGAGGCGUUACACAGGUGCUGCAUGGCCGUCGUCAGCUCGUGUCGUGAGAUGUUUGGUUAAGUCCAGCAACGAGCGCAACCCCUGUUGCCAGUUACCAGCACGUGAAGGUGGGGACUCUGGCGAGACUGCCCAGAUCAACUGGGAGGAAGGUGGGGACGACGUCAGGUCAGUAUGGCCCUUAUGCCCAGGGCUGCACACGUACUACAAUGCCCAGUACAGAGGGGGCCGAAGCCGCGAGGCGGAGGAAAUCCUGAAAACUGGGCCCAGUUCGGACUGUAGGCUGCAACCCGCCUACACGAAGCCGGAAUCGCUAGUAAUGGCGCAUCAGCUACGGCGCCGUGAAUACGUUCCCGGGUCUUGUACACACCGCCCGUCA
rnacentral:rRNA from 1 species